rnacentral:rRNA from 1 species
AUGGAGCAGCUCGUGCGGGCUAGCAGCAGCGGCCAGCGCCGCUCGCUGUCGGAGCAUCCUACUGCUGUAUCGAAGAGGCGGUGUGGCGGGAUGUCGCAGCAGGCUGCGGCUGUGCAUCGCUCCGGCGUCUCUGCACAGCUGCGUCUUGCUUCUUGCUUGCCGCCUUUUGAGAUGGGGACGAGAGGAAGAGAGGAAGAGGGAGGAUCGAGAGAAGAUGGGAUAAGAUUUGUGCGGUGGGAAGUGGUGAGGCCCAUCGGGACACGCGUCAUCGGGAGGAGGCGGUUUACGAGGGCGUAUUAUCAGCCGGUGGAAACGAAGCGAUUUCCUUUAUAUCAUGGGAUGGAGGGAGUAUUUCUCUUCUCUAUUUUAUACAUAUAUGAUAUGGUUAAAAGGACUGUGGUAUCCUCAAUCUACCAAGGUUCAAAUUCUGAUGCUCAUAUUUAUUCUCGAAUUUAUUUCAGGAUUUCCGGCGAUGCACAUUCAAUGGGAGGAGACGUUUCCGUCGAUGACGAGAUGCCUACUGUGACUUAG